rnacentral:rRNA from 1 species
CCUACGGGAGGCAGCAGUGAGGAAUAUUGGUCAAUGGACGAGAGUCUGAACCAGCCAAGUAGCGUGAAGGAUGACUGCCCUAUGGGUUGUAAACUUCUUUUAUAUGGGAAUAAAACAGGGUAUGCAUACCCUCUUGUAUGUAACCUAUGAAUAAGGAUCGGCCAACUCCGUGCCAGCAGCCGCCGUAAUACGGAGGAUCCGAGCGUUAUCCGGGAUUAUUGGGUUUAAAGGGAGCGUAGGUGGGUUUUUAAGUCAGUUGUGAAAGAUUGGGGCUCAACCGGAAAAGUGCAGUUGAAACUGGCAGUCUUGAGUAGGGUAGAGGUAGGCGGAAUGCGUGGUGUAGCGGUGAAAUGCUUAGAUAUCACGAAGAACUCCGAUUGCGAAGGCAGCUCACUGGAACGCAACUGACACUGAUGCACGAAAGUGUGGGUAUCAAACAGGAUUAGAUACCCCAGUAGUC